CGCUCUGGCCUUUUCAGGGAGAAAGGCCGCUCACAAGGCUGUCCUUGCACUCUCUGGCUUUCUCAUGUCUUUGAGGGAAAAUGUCAUUUUAAUCAUCUGUUGAGAGUACUGAACGAAUAUUUCUUUUGGAGGGGGCGGGGGGAAAGCCCUAUUAGAGAGCCCUGGAAUGUGCUUCAGCAGAUCUCUUGACAAGGUGAAAUGGUCUGUUUCAUGAAGCUUUUGCUUUAAAAUGUCCACCUGCGUUUAUCCCAGUUUUGCCCAUUAAAGGAAUUAUAGAGAGCGAAGGAAAAAGAGCAAAACAAAACUUGAGCCAACAAGGAACCAAUUUCGUGGAGUCCCCGUCUGGAGGGAGCCCACAGUGAGGGCUGGUGUGGUGACCCGAGCACGCGCUGGUGACAAGGACGCCGGGCUUAAUGCUCUUAUUAGGGAGCGGCCUGCUGCUAGCAUGGGACGGACUUUGCACUGGGGAACUGAACGAGACCCCCUGUAACAGCCUCCAGCUGCCAUUGCUCAGAGAAUAAGGUAAAUUGUGAAGAACAAUCCUCUCGGCUGGCCAGCUGGCGUAUGCGGAGGAAAGGUGGGAGUUUGCCACAGGCUCACUUGGAAACAAAGGAAGCACCUCGGCUGUGCUAGGGGCUUCCACAAAGAAGCUCAGCUGCCACUUCCUGGGUGAAGACUCCACCUACACAGAUUUUUCACAGGAUCUUGUGUUUUCCUUCAUGGCAGCCCAAUAAAGAAGUGUGAGAUGGAAGAAUGCAUGAGAUACAGUGAAGAAGAUACUGAAGGACAUAAUAAUGUGAUGACAAUAGCUACAAUUAUUGUGACAGGCAAUGUUGUGAUAUCUACUCCUCACAACAACUCUAAUGAGGCAGUUACUAUUUCUCUUCCUGUUUUACAGAUGAAGAAACUAGCAUGUAAUUUGUCCAAGGCACACAUCAAAUCUGUAGUGGAACUGGGACUUGAGCCUCGGACUGACCUCUAAAUUCAUGCCCCUUGUUAUAGCCAAACAAUAAAUACAUCACACUCCCGAGGUAAUUAAUGA